UACGUAGGGUGCGAGCGUUGUCCGGAAUUAUUGGGCGUAAAGGGCUCGUAGGCGGUUUGUCGCGUCGGGAGUGAAAACCCAGGGCUUAACCCUGGGCUGGCUUCCGAUACGGGCAGACUAGAGGUAUGCAGGGGAGAACGGAAUUCCUGGUGUAGCGGUGAAAUGCGCAGAUAUCAGGAGGAACACCAAUAGCGAAGGCAGCUCGCUGGGACGGUACUGACGCUGAGGCGCGAAAGCGUGGGGAGCGAACAGG
rnacentral:rRNA from 1 species